rnacentral:rRNA from 1 species
UACGGAGGAUGCAAGCGUUAUCCGGAUUCAUUGGGUUUAAAGGGUGCGUAGGCGGAAUAAUAAGUCAGUGGUGAAAUCCUGCAGCUUAACUGUAGAACUGCCAUUGAUACUGUUAUUCUUGAGUAUAGUUGAGGUAGGCGGAAUGUGUAAUGUAGCGGUGAAAUGCUUAGAUAUUACACAGAACACCAAUUGCGUAGGCAGCUUGCUAAACUAAUACUGACGCUGAGGCACGAAAGCGUGGGGAGCAAACAGGAUUAGAUACCCCCGUA